GGCAUUGUAGCAUAGUGGGAAAGUGCAGGACUUAAAACCAAAAGGUUGUUGGUUCGAUUCCCCACAGGGUCA